AUUGAACGCUGGCGGCAGGCCUAACACAUGCAAGUCGAACGAGUGGCGGACGGGUGAGUAAUGUCUGGGAAACUGCCUGAUGGAGGGGGAUAAAUACUGGAAACGGUAGCUAAUACCGCAUACCAUCAGAUGUGCCCAGAUGGGCUUGGCUAGUUGGUGGGGUAACGGGUGACCAAGGCGACGAUCCCUAGCUGGUCUGAGAGGAUGACCAGCCACACGGGAAAUGAUAGACGGGCCAGACGCCUACGUGAGGCAGGGGUGGGGAAUAUUGCACAAUGGGCGCAAGCCGGAUGCAGCCAUGCCGGGUGUAUGAAGAAGGCCUUCGGGUUGUAAAGUACUUUCAGCGGGGAGGCGGUACCCGCAGAAGAAGCACCGGCUAACUCCGUGCCAGCAGCCGCGGUAAUAC
rnacentral:rRNA from 1 species